UGCUGGCAGUGCGUCUUAAGCAUGCAAGUCAAACGGGAUGUAGCAAUACAUUCAGUGGCGAACGGGUGAGUAAACGCGUGGAUGAUCUACCUACGAGAUGGGGAUAACUAUUAGAAAUAGUAGCUAAUACCGAAUAAAGUCAAUUAAUUUGUUAAUUGAUGAAAGGAAGCCUUUAAAGCUUCGCUUGUAGAUGAGUCUGCGUCUUAUUAGCUAGUUGGUAGGGUAAAUGCCUACCAAGGCGAUGAUAAGUAACCGGCCUGAGAGGGUGAACGUCAC
rnacentral:rRNA from 1 species